rnacentral:rRNA from 1 species
CGUGCCUAACACAUGCAAGUCUAACGAUGAAGCUCUUGCUUGCAAGAGUGGAUUAGUGGCGAACGGGUGAGUAAUGUAUAGCUAACCUGCCCUUUAGAGGGGGACAACAGUUGGAAACGACUGCUAAUACCCCAUAUUCCGUAGUAUCAUAAGGUAUUAUGGGAAAACUCCGGUGCUAAAGGAUGGGGCUGUAUCCUAUCAGUUAGUUGGUGAGGUAAUGGCUCACCAAGGCAAUGACGGGUAGCUGGUCUGAGAGGAUGAUCAGCCACACUGGAACUGAGACACGGUCCAGACUCCUACGGGAGGCAGCAGUGGGGAAUAUUGCACAAUGGGGGAAACCCUGAUGCAGCAACGCCGCGUGGAGGAUGACGCAUUUCGGUGUGUAAACUCCUUUUACGAAGUCAAGAAAAUGACGGUAGCUUGUGAAUAAGCACCGGCUAACUCCGUGCCAACAACCGCGGUAAUACGGAGGGUGCAAGCGUUACUCCGGAAUCACUGGGCGUAAAGGAUGCGUAGGCGGAAGAUCAAGUUGAGAAUGAAAUCCUAUGGCUUAACCAUAGAACUGCUUUCAAAACUGGGUUUUCCUAGAAUGUGGGAGAAGCAGAUGGAAUUGGUGGUGGUAAGGGGUAA